rnacentral:rRNA from 1 species
ACGUCUACAUUAGACUACCCUGUACGUCCCAGCCGUAAACUAUGCUCGCUAGGUGUCAGGCAUGGCGCGACCGUGUCUGGUGCCGCAGGGAAGCCGUGAAGCGAGCCACCUGGGAAGUACGGCCGCAAGGCUAGAAACUUAAAGGAAUUGGCGGGGGAGCACAACAACGGGUGGAGCCUGCGGUUUAAUUGGACUCAACGCCGGACAACUCACCGGGAACGACAGCAAUAUGUAGGCCAGGCUGAAGACCUUGCCUGAAUCGCUG